UUCUAACCUCUCUCUCUCUUUCAUCCUUUUGUUUUUCUGUCACCCUGACUUUGUCCUCGAAACAUACACCACUUUUGACUUGUUUUCUUUAGAAGGACAAAGCCACACACAGUUAAAUAAG